rnacentral:rRNA from 1 species
UACGUAGGGGGCGAGCGUUGUCCGGAAUCAUUGGGCGUAAAGCGCGUGUAGGCGGCCCGAUAAGUCCGCUGUGAAAGUCCAGGGCUCAACCCUGGGAUGCCGGUGGAUACUGUCGGGCUCGAGUCCGGAAGAGGCGAGUGGAAUUCCUGGUGUAGCGGUGAAAUGCGCAGAUAUCAGGAGGAACACCAAUGGCGAAGGCAGCUCGCUGGGACGUGACUGACGCUGAGGAGCGAAAGCGUGGGGAGCGAACAGG